rnacentral:rRNA from 1 species
GAUGAACGCUGGCGGCGUGCCUAAUACAUGCAAGUCGAGCGAAUGGAUUAAGAGCUUGCUCUUAUGAAGUUAGCGGCGGACGGGUGAGUAACACGUGGGUAACCUGCCCAUAAGACUGGGAUAACUCCGGGAAGCCGGGGCUAAUACCGGAUAACAUUUUGAACCGCAUGGUUCGAAAUUGAAAGGCGGCUUCGGCUGUCACUUAUGGAUGGACCCGGGUCGCAUUAGCUAGUUGGUGAGGUAACGGCUCACAAAGGCAACGAUGCGUAGCCGACCUGAGAGGGUGAUCGGCCACACUGGGACUGAGACACGGCCCAGACUCCUACGGGAGGCAGCAGUAGGGAAUCUUCCGCAAUGGACGAAAGUCUGACGGAGCAACGCCGCGUGAGUGAUGAAGGCUUUCGGGUCGUAAAACUCAGUUGUUAGGGAAGAACAAGUGCUAGUUGAAUAAGCUGGCACCUUGACGGUACCUAACCAGAAAGCCACGGCUAACUACGUGCCAGCCGCCGCGGUAA